CGGGAAAUGGCUCAGCUUGGUAGAGCACCUGGUUUGGGACCAGGGGGUCGCAGGUUCGAAUCCUGUUUUCCCGA
rnacentral:tRNA from 16 species